UUUAUUUCAGACUGUUUUUGCACUCUUCAGCGCGACUGUUUACUUCAUUAUCCUACUUUAUAAGGCAUUCUACUCGUUAAUAUCACAAAAGGAGAGAAAUAGGUUCGGAAGUGGCAAUACCAUUUUUCUCCUGUGCAAUUACAUCACGGUACCUAUGUUAACGAUGCUCGCCGGGCAGAAGACGCACUACGAGGCGGACCGAGUGAUCAGAACGUUGGCGCGUCUGAACAACAUACUAUUGACAGUUCGAGGCGAUGGCGUGGCAGAGCUGAACAAAACAGUGAAAAACCUUCACCGAACAAUGACAGCGAACCCCACCCGGAUCGAGAUGCUGCCCGACGUGGUCCUGCACAUGCCUAUGCUGCCUAAUAUUAUGCACACCGUUAUAUCCUAUACUAUUAAUUUUCUUCAAAUUAAUCACCUUGUGUGAGGGGUGUUUAGUGUUUACCUAAGAUAUAAUAA